rnacentral:rRNA from 1 species
UACGAAGGGGGCUAGCGUUGUUCGGAAUUACUGGGCGUAAAGCGCACGUAGGCGGAUUUGUAAGUCAGGGGUGAAAUCCCGAGGCUCAACCUCGGAACUGCCUUUGAUACUGCAAAUCUCGAGUCCGGAAGAGGUGAGUGGAAUUCCUAGUGUAGAGGUGAAAUUCGUAGAUAUUAGGAAGAACACCAGUGGCGAAGGCGGCUCACUGGUCCGGUACUGACGCUGAGGUGCGAAAGCGUGGGGAGCAAACAGG